CGACGCGGGAAAACAGGACCUGGGAAAAGCGCGAAGGGGGAACAGGGCGACACGGGAAAAGGGCGACGCGGGAACAGGGCGACGCGGGAAAAGGGUGUCGCGGGAACAGGGCGACGCGGGAACAGGGCGACGCGGGAAAAGGGCGACGCGGGAAAAGGGCGACGCGGGAAAACAGGACCUGGGAAAAGCGCGAAGGGGGAACAGGGCGACGCGGGAAAAGGGCGACGAGGGAAAACAGGGCGACGAGGGAAAACAGGACCUGGGAAAAGCGCGAAGGGGGAACAGGGCGACGCGGGAAAACAGGGCGACGAGGGAAAACAGGACCUGGGAAAAGCGCGACACGGGGACAGGGCGACGCGGGAAAAGGGCGACGCGGGAAAAGGGCGACGCGGGAAAAGGGCGACGAGGGAAAACAGGGCGACGAGGGAAAACAGGACCUGGGAAAAGCGCGGCGCGGGAAAAGGGGGACUCAGGAAAAGCGCGACCUGGGAAAAGCGCGACACGGGGACAGGGCAGCGCGGGAACAGGGCGACAUGGGUGUGGCUGCAUUUUCUGUAUGCGGAAGCAAAACGGUUGCACCACUUACCCCGCAUGCGCGAACCAUACAUCACUUCCGCUAAAGCCCACUAUACGACAGAGUCAUUUCCAAACAGCAAAACUCCUUGAUCACAAGAAUUUAUGUUUUUCUCAACAACUGAGAGCUUCUCCUGACUGGAUUACUGUGAGAAAAAAAGCCACCGAGUUACCGUUAAAAACGAAUUUGGAUGACCGGAUAAAAUAAAGUGUUUUGAAGUGGCGCUGUUUCCUCUUAGCCUAGGGAGUAAACUGCCGUCAUGUAAAACUGCAGAAGAAGAAAACAUUUGUAGUCCGUUAUAGUCACUGCAAGAUCGUAAGGUCCUGAUCCUUAACGUGUCUUUUUCCUUUCGUUUAUUCAACAAUAAGUGAAUGUUUUCACUAUGGUAAACAUCUUAAGUGCUGUUUUAACAUCCUACGACGUUAUCAUUGUU
rnacentral:lncRNA from 1 species